ensembl:lncRNA
CUCUCUGUGUUGGUAGGUACGCUCUGUGUUGGUAGGAACGCUCUGUGUUGGUAGGUACGCUCUGUGUUGGUAGGUACGCUCUGUGUUGGUAGGAGCGCUCUGUGUUGGUAGGUACGCUCUGUGUUGGUAGGAGCGCUCUGUGUUGGUAGGUACGCUCUGUGUUGGUAGGUGCGCUCUGUGUUGGUAGGAACGCUCUGUGUUGGUAGGAACGCUCUGUGUUGGUAGGAACGCUCUGUGUUGGUAGGAACGCUCUGUGUUGGUAGGAACGCUCUGUGUUGGUAGGUGCGCUCUGUGUUGGUA